rnacentral:ncRNA from 1 species
UCGGUCCCGGUUCACGGACGGCAGCCCGCCGCCCGACCCGGAGCC